GUCCAAUUAUACUGCCAACCAUUUUUGCGGGAACCAACAUCCGGAACACACUCUCUCCAGGCCAUCCAGGCCACUUCUUUUCACCAUCACCAACCACUGCCUCAUCUUCAUGUUCUUUUGUUCUGAUGUUCUGAUUCUUGCUGCAACUUCUGCUCCUCUAAGUUCUCUUCUGGAAUGUCUUUCAAGUCAAAGCACUGCUCCAAGUUCGCAAAGUGCUCCAAGUUCGCAUUGUGCUCAAAGCUCGCAUUCUGUUCCAAGUUCAAAUCAUGCCCCAGGUUCAUAUUAUGCCCCAAAUUUUCAUGUUCUUGAGCCUGUUCCACUUCAUUUUCAACAAAGCUUUGAUCAACUUCA